GGGAGAGCCUGGAUGGUGAAGUCCCAGAUGGGUCUGCGGUGCAGAGGCUUCAUGGCAGGCGUCAUCUUCAUAUCAGCCAGGCGCUCCACCGUGGAGCCCCGAGAGGUGUUCCGUGGGAGGCAGAAACCGUGUGACGGAGCCUUCACAUCGUAGACUCAGAAGAUGCAACAUGGUGCCCCCGAGAGGCUUGUCUUGGCUCCCACG